GCCUUACACAUGCAAGUCGAACGGCAGCACGGGUGCUUGCACCUGGUGGCGAGUGGCGAACGGGUGAGUAAUACAUCGGAACAUGUCCUGUAGUGGGGGAUAGCCCGGCGAAAGCCGGAUUAAUACCGCAUACGAUCUACGGAUGAAAGCGGGGGACCUUCGGGCCUCGCGCUAUAGGGUUGGCCGAUGGCUGAUUAGCUAGUUGGUGGGGUAAAGGCCUACCAAGGCGACGAUCAGUAGCUGGUCUGAGAGGACGACCAGCCACACUGGGACUGAGACACGGCCCAGACUCCUACGGGAGGCAGCAGUGGGGAAUUUUGGACAAUGGGCGAAAGCCUGAUCCAGCAAUGCCGCGUGUGUGAAGAAGGCCUUCGGGUUGUAAAGCACUUUUGUCCGGAAAGAAAUCCUUGGCUCUAAUACAGUCGGGGGAUGACGGUACCGGAAGAAUAAGCACCGGCUAACUACGUGCCAGCAGCCGCGGUAAUACGUAGGGUGCGAGCGUUAAUCGGAAUUACUGGGCGUAAAGCGUGCGCAGGCGGUUUGCUAAGACCGAUGUGAAAUCCCCGGGCUCAACCUGGGAACUGCAUUGGUGACUGCACGGCUGGAGUGCGGCAGAGGGGGAUGGAAUUCCGCGUGUAGCAGUGAAAUGCGUAGAUAUGCGGAGGAACACCGAUGGCGAAGGCAAUCCCCUGGGCCUGCACUGACGCUCAUGCACGAAAGCGUGGGGAG
rnacentral:rRNA from 1 species